rnacentral:rRNA from 1 species
GCAGUCGCCGCGGUAAUACGUAGGUCCCGAGCGUUGUCCGGAUUUAUUGGGCGUAAAGGGAGCGCAGGCGGUUUAGUAAGUCUGAGGUUAAAGGCAUUGGCUCAACCAAUGUAUGCUUUGGAAACUGUUAGACUUGAGUGCAGAAGGGGAGAGUGGAAUUCCAUGUGUAGCGGUGAAAUGCGUAGAUAUAUGGAGGAACACCGGUGGCGAAAGCGGCUCUCUGGCUUGUAACUGACGCUGAGGCUCGAAAGCGUGGGGAGCAAACAGGAUUAGAUACCCGGGUAGUCCCUGUCUCUUAUACC